rnacentral:rRNA from 1 species
GACGAACGCUGGCGGCAGGCUUAACACAUGCAAGUCGAACGGGUGUAGCAAUACAGUCAGUGGCAGACGGGUGAGUAACACGUGGGAACCUUCCUAGGGGUACGGAACAACUCAGGGAAACUUGAGCUAAUACCGUAUACGUCCGUAAGGAGAAAGAUUCAUCGCCCCUAGACGGGCCCGCGUCGGAUUAGGUAGUUGGUGGGGUAACGCCUACCAAGCCUACGAUCCGUAGCUGAUCUGAGAGGANGAUCAGCCACACUGGGACUGAGACACGGCCCAGACUCCUACGGGAGGCAGCAGUGGGGAAUCUUGGACAAUGGGCGCAAGCCUGAUCCAGCCAUG